rnacentral:rRNA from 1 species
GNNCAUGCGGGUGCUACCAUGCAGUCGACGCUGAAGCUUGGUGCUUGCACUGGGUGGAUGAGUGGCGAACGGGUGAGUAAUACGUGAGUAACCUGCCCUUGACUCUGGGAUAAGCCUGGGAAACUGGGUCUAAUACUGGAUACGACAUGUCACCGCAUGGUGGUGUAUGGAAAGGGUUUUACUGGUUUUGGAUGGGCUCACGGCCUAUCAGCUUGUUGGUGGGGUAAUGGCUCACCAAGGCGACGACGGGUAGCCGGCCUGAGAGGGUGACCGGCCACACUGGGACUGAGACACGGCCCAGACUCCUACGGGAGGCAGCAGUGGGGAAUAUUGCACAAUGGGCGAAAGCCUGAUGCAGCGACGCCGCGUGAGGGAUGACGGCCUUCGGGUUGUAAACCUCUUUCAGCACGGAAGAAGCGAAAGUGACGGUACGUGCAGAAGAAGCGCCGGCUAACUACGUGCCAGCAGCCGCGGUAAUACGUAGGGCGCAAGCGUUGUCCGGAAUUAUUGGGCGUAAAGAGCUCGUAGGCGGUUUGUCGCGUCUGCUGUGAAAGCCCGGGGCUUAACCCCGGGUGUGCAGUGGGUACGGGCAGACUUGAGUGCAGUAGGGGAGACUGGAAUUCCUGGUGUAGCGGUGAAAUGCGCAGAUAUCAGGAGGAACACCGAUGGCGAAGGCAGGUCUCUGGGCUGUUACUGACGCUGAGGAGCGAAAGCAUGGGGAGCGAACAGGAUUAGAUACCCUGGUAGUCCAUGCCGUAAACGUUGGGCACUAGGUGUGGGGAACAUUCCACGUUUUCCGCGCCGUAGCUAACGCAUUAAGUGCCCCGCCUGGGGGAGUACGGCCGCAAGGCUAAAACUCAAAGGAAUUGACGGGGGCCCGCACAAGCGGCGGAGCAUGCGGAUUAAUUCGAUGCAACGCGAAGAACCUUACCAAGGCUUGACAUACACCGGACCGGGCCAGAGAUGGUCUUUCCCCCUUGUGGGGCUGGUGUACAGGUGGUGCAUGGGUUGUCGUCAGCUCGUGUCGUGAGAUGUUGGGUUAAGUCCCGCAACGAGCGCAACCCUCGUUCUAUGUUGCCAGCACGUGAUGGUGGGGACUCAUAGGAGACUGCCGGGGUCACUCGGAGGAAGGUGGGGAUGACGUCAAUCAUCAUGCCCCUUAUUGUCUUGGNCUUNNCGCAAUGGCUACAUGNCNAGUACCAUUGGNNUGGCGGAUGNCCGNCGAAGGUGAAGCCUA